UGGUGAACCGGGUUCGCGUCUCCGCUCCUCCACAUGCAGCUGCUGGGUGACCUUGGGCCAGUCACACUUCUCUGAAGUCUCUCAGCCCCACUCACCUCACAGAGUGUUUGUUGUGGGGGAGGAAGGGAAAGGAGAAUGUUGGCCGCUUUGAGACUCCUUCGGGUAGUGAUAAAGCGGGAUAUCAAAUCCAAACUCCUCCACUCCUCCUCCACAAUUGAUAUAAAUGAUGUGGCCUGUUCCUGCGUAUAUGUUUGUGAGCCUAAAGUUCAUUUCCCUUUCACUUUUGGAGAGUAACUGCUUGGAAAAAUAAGGCCGAUUUUCAAAAGCCAUUAUAAUCAACAAUUCCAAACAACAUAAAGGGUGAAGAUGGAUUGUCUCUGUGUCAUCUGGGGAAUAAUUUGGUUCGUCAUACUAUACUUUAUUGGAUGGCCCAUAAGCAUAUUCUUAGGAGGACUGUAUGGAUUUAUAGUUCCUUUAACUACUUUGAUAGGUCUAGAUGAUGUUGGUGAAGUUUUGUUGAAGGGGGUGAAUGUGGGGAAAGUGUGUGCUACUAAUGUACGCAGUGGAAAACCUCUCUGUUAACAACGAGACUACCAUAAUUACCCAGCAUGUAUUGUUGUCCAGUGGCAAUGAGGUUUUAUAUGAAUAUUUGGUUUUCAUCAGUAAAGUAUAAAGUUCCCAAAUUGUACUUGAAACUGCAGUUCCUAUGUAUAUUGCAUUUGUCUGUAAUGCACUGCAACUGGAGAGAUCUGAAUCAGAACCUCAGAUUCUCAAACUGUGAAUGUUCAGAAACUUGGGUGCAAACAGCUUGUAAAUAUCUAAUCAGAAAGAGAGAGAGUUAUGAGAUUUGUAUUUCUCUGGUUUUCUGUUUUUUGCUUUGUGCCACAAAUUAUCUAAGGUUUAAAAUUGUGUCUCUCACUAAAGCGAAUUUUGCAUCUCUGUAUACAGUUACUAAUGUAUAAAUCAAUCUGUAUUAAUUGUUUAUUAUACUUGGUUGUGAAUAUGCUUUAGAAGCCAUUGUUUUUGUUUCGGUUCUCUAUAAUGUAAUUAUUUAGGUAUGCUAACACCAUAACACAUAAUAAAACUACCUGAACUUUC